UGUUAACCUUCAGUGGUCGUAUGGGAGAGAGGUGUUGCUCCUCCUGCCGCCCUGCCGUUUUUACCACUUCCUCAGCCUCUUAAUACAGCUAAAUAACGUAAAUGUUGAGCUGCAGCUCCUGGUCCCCACUACCAGUUUGAUAACAUCAGGCAGUAAUGUGUGGUAAUUGCUGCUGCUGGCUGUGUCUGCUGCAGCAAUGAUCAACACAACAACAUUGACCAGUCUGAGGAGUGAGACAACCACACUAGUAAAUGGUCUGACCCAUAACAUUAAGUGUUAUACCGGGAGAGAGUGACUCCAGGCAUGUGGAGAUGCAGCAGCUGGAGACGUCGUCAGAGGUGGCUGGGGCCCAUUUCUAAGACUGCUGACUAGUGGAUAUUGUGUUGCUGUAUCAACAUGCGAGGACCAAGACUAUUUGAACAUGUAACCAAAAAUCUGCUGGGAAAAGUGUAGAAGUCUUCAAGAGGAAACUGGACAAGUAUCUUCACCAGGUGCUGGAUCAACCAGUCUGUGAUGGAGUGGGUCAGUGGAUCACAAGCAGUAACAUCCUGGUGGAGCAGGCAAGCACCAGAUGAGCCAGACCCCUGGCUGGGCUCUGGCAGUAGUAAAACACUCGGAACUCAUCAGAGGUUAAGAAACUGUCUCCCACCAAGGUAGUGACCCAAACAAAGAAAUCAUUUACCAUCACAGUCUUGCCAGAGGGGUGCUGAUACUACACCUCAAAACUGCUAAUGUCUCCACCCAUCCUUUAGGGUGCAGAUUCUCUUCGUGCAUCCUCUGCUGCUGCACCAACUGAUCCUCAUACCUGUACAAGAUAUUCAUGUAUUACAGUGGACCCCCGCAUAACGAUUACCUCCGAAUGCGACCAAUUAUGUAAGUGUAUUUAUGUAAGUGCGUUUGUACGUGUAUGUUUGGGGGUCUGAAAUGGACUAAUCUACUUCACAAUAUUUCUUAUGGGAACAAAUUCGGUCAGUACUGGCACCUGAACAUACUUCUGGAGUGAAAAAAUAUCGUUAACCGGGGGUCCACUGUAUUAUUAAGAAUAUCAUAGACUGAUCAAUGAGCUAGGUGUCCUAUAGCUCGGUUGGUAGCACACUUAGUUCACACACUGAGAUCCGUGGUUUGAGCCCCGGUACAAAUGGAAACAUUGGGGGUGUGAUUCUUUAAGACACCUGCUGUCCCUGUUCACCUAACAGUAAAUAGAUACCUGGAUGUUAGCCGACUGGUGUGGGUUGCAUCCUGAGGACAAAAUUAACCUAAUUUGCCCAAAUGCUCUGCAUUACAAGGGGCUUUCUAUACAGUAUGUCAACAAUGUCAGCUAGGUCUGUGUAAGUUGUAUCAUGUACUUGUAGAAAUAAAGAUUAUUAUUAUUACUAUGUGUGCAGUAGUUCACAAUAAUUUAUAUAAGGUACAAUAUUUUUCCACAUUAGUACAGACUUCAAACAGGGGAUGUAGAAAUACACAUGAGAAAACUUUUCAUAUUGAUUCUUUAAAAAUAUGAAAAAUAUUACAAUAAAUAGAUGUCCAAAAAUGUGAUUUAAUUGCAUAUUUAGACAGUUCUUGGCAGUUUGAAGCAUUGUCAGAGAUACUUUAAUGACAGAUCACAGAAAGUAAGAAAGAGGCAGAACCCAGAAUUGGAGCUCACAGCUCAUCUCCCUUUCUUGCAAACUCAUAUAAACAGGUAAUUAAAUUACAGUGGAAGUCUGACUUCAUUCACAUUUACAUUACACAUUAAAUUACUUUCAACAUUAUCUCUACACUGUCAACUAAUCUAGUCUGAAUACUUUUAUAGCCAGUAAUUACUUAAGUGGGUAACCUAUAAACUAACUUACACUUAGGUAAAAUAAUAUUCCUUGCAAAGAAAAAUUAAUUAUGCCAGAUUUUAAUCAAGAGUUUGACCUUGAAAGAUUCAGUACCCUGCUGCAGAAAGAUAAGCCUGCAGUGAAGUUAUUUUUUUGUAAGUAAAAAUUUAGCAUUAUUAAAAAUUACUCCACACGUGUUGUAAAAGGCAACUAAAAUGCCGAAGGCAACGGGCUAGCAACCUCUUCUGUAUAAAUUACUAAAUUUAAAAAGAGAAACUUUCGUUUUUCUUUUUGGGCCACCUUGCCUUGGUGGGAUAUGGCUGGUUUGUUGGAAGAAGAAGAAGAAGAAGAAGAAAUUACUGUGAUAAUAUUACUCCUGGCUCUGCCAAGAGCAAGAGAGAUAACUGCCUAAACAGCAAAUGUAAAAAAAAAAGUGCUUAUAUAACUGCUAAGUUCUUAGCAGUUAUAUAGGCACUGAGUUCUUAGCAGUUAUAUAAGCAUUAAGUUCUUAGCGCUUAUAUAGGCACAAGGAAGCUUCAACUAAAAUACAUGUAUAACCAAUUCAUCUUCCCAGCUCCAAGGACUCUCAUCAUUUUGAGUGCAUCUAUAACAAUCAUCAUAAUAUUUAAACUAAUUAGGGUCCAUUGAUCAUCAUAAUCAAGCAAGUUGGUUAUCUAACAUUUGUUUUCCAUUUUUACUCCAUGAAGAAAUUAUUUAAUAGAAUUUACACGCUAAUUAUCAUAUACGUAUCUUAAACUAACCGUUUA